CGCAGUGCAGCCGCAUUGUCUACCGCGAUGCGUUUUCCCUUACUUUUGGUCAGCGCCCUGGUUAUCGCCUUAUUUUUCGACUUCACUCAGUGCCAGGAGGCGACCGAGAAUAUGGGCCGCUUCUACCUGGUGCCGAACGAGAACCUCGCGCCGAACGGGAGACUCCCGCGUGGAGAUUAUCCCUCGAGAUCCGCGACAGUGAAUGGAGAUAAAAGAGGCGAUUUGGACUCCCUAAGUGGAAUGGCCUUCGGACGCUGAGCCGGACAAUGUCCCUGAUCUGGAAAAUGUUGAUUUUCGUCGUCAGAAGAUCGACAGCCAUCUGCAUAUCGAAGACACCUAUCGUGAUUCGCAUGACCGGAGUGUGAGACGGCUCGAAAACAGAAUAAACUGCAUUAAAAA